AUGUUAUUUAUUAGUUAAUUUACCGUCGUACUUCAAUUCUCAAUAAAUGAACGGAUAAAGGAAAAUAGAAGGAGACCAUUUAAAUUUAUCCGCUAAGAAAUAACAGAAACGAGAAAUUAGGGUUUUGUGAGGGUUUCUUUUCCGAUCAGAUAAGGGAAGCGAGAGAGAAUGAAGAUUGCGGUGGAAGGGUGCAUGCAUGGCGACCUGGACAACGUGUACAGAACCCUUCAGCACUUGGAGAAAUCCCAGAACACGAAAAUCGACCUUCUUCUCUGCUGCGGCGAUUUCCAAGCGGUUAGGAACGAACAGGAUUUGAAGAGCUUGAACGUCCCGCCCAAGUAUCGCUCCAUGAAUUCCUUCUGGAAGUACUAUUCCGGCGCCGAGGUUGCCCCUUAUCCCACCAUCUUCAUUGGCGGCAAUCACGAAGCGUCCAAUUAUCUCUGGGAACUGUACUAUGGAGGAUGGGUUGCUCCUAAUAUCUACUUCUUGGGAGCUGCUGGGGUCGUGAGGUUUGGGAAUGUCCGAAUUGGUGGUCUCUCUGGGAUCUAUAAUGAUCGACACUAUAGAUUAGGACGUUUUGAGAGGCCUCCCUAUGAUCAGAGUACCAUUAGGUCUGUGUAUCAUGUUCGUGAGUAUGAUGUUCGCAAACUAAUGGAACUUAAGGAGCCCAUUGAUGUUUUUCUUUCGCAUGAUUGGCCAGUUAGAAUCACUGAUUAUGGGGAUUGGAAGGAGCUUGUUCGGCGCAAGCACUAUUUUAGGCAAGAGAUAGAGGAAAAAAGAUUAGGGAGUAAAGCUGCUGCUGAACUUCUAGAAAAACUGAAACCAAAUUAUUGGUUUUCGGCUCACUUACACUGCAAGUUUGCUGCUCUGGUUCAGCAUGGGGAAGGAGGUCCACUGACAAAAUUCCUUGCACUGGACAAAUGUAUUGCCGGGCGUGAUUUCUUACAGAUUGUGGAAAUUGAAUCAGAUGCAGGACCUUAUGAGAUUCAAUAUGAUGAAGAAUGGUUAGCGAUAACACGGAGGUUCAACCCUAUCUUCCCUUUGACCACCAAAGGUGCAAACUUCAGAGGUUUAAAUCUCGAGAUGGAAGAUUGUCUUGAAUGGGUUAGAAGCAGGCUGCGUGAGAAAGGGUGCAAACCAUUUGAAUUUGUCAGAACAGCUCCUUCCUAUGAUCCUUCUCGGUCCAAUUUUGGUGGUGCUUUGACUGUGAAUCCCCGGAACCCUCAGACAGAAUCUUUUUUGCAGCUUCUGGAACUUCCAUAUCUUCUUGAUAGAAAUCCUGAUGCAAAGGACUUUUCACCUCAUCCUUCUCUUUCGGUUAAAAGAGGCAUUAGUGAUGAUAAUGAGGACAUUCCCAUUGAUGAUGUGGAUGAUGAUGAUGAUGAUGAUGUAGAACUCCCAAAAGUUGAUAACGUUGAAAGUUGAGACCGGGACUUCAAAUUUGUGAAUCAUCGUUUCAAAUUAGCAUACUGAAUUGGUGGCAGUGUAGUGCCAAUUGGUUAUGUCAAGGGAUUUGCUGCUAUUAAUUGGGUUAGUUCUGUACUGUGCUUCCCUUUUCUUCAUCUCUUGGGUAUUCAAAGAUUAGAAGCCAUGCUUGUGUUUUGGAUUUAAAAGCUCAUAUACAGUUAUGCAUAGAAAGACAUUCAAUGACAUUGUGAGAAUAUUCUGAGUGGGUGGAGGCCUCUCUAGAAUGUAUGUACAUAAAAGCUGUACUCUUAAAAUUAAGUAAAACUUCAAAUAAAAAUAUACCAGAGAUAGAAAAAGUCG